rnacentral:rRNA from 1 species
UACAAGAGGGGCGAGCGUUAUCCGGAAUGAUUGGGCGUAAAGUGUUCGUAGGUUGUAUUUGUUACUAUAAGCAAAAGACUAAGCUUAUACUUAGUUAGACUUAUAGCAUACUUUUUACUUGAGUAUAGAAGAGGAUAACAGAAUUUUAUGCAUAGGAGUAAAAUCCUAAGAUUCAUAAAGGAAUGCCAGUGGCGAAAGCGGUUAUCUAGUCUAUUAACUGACGCUGAGGAACGAAAGCGUAGGGAGCAAACGGG